UUCCUGAACUUUGUGGAGUGGAGCUUGUUGUUGGUGUGUGAAGAAACUGUGAAGGUAGAAAGUGUGUGUGAGCUGAUGUGAAUUGAGCAGCAUGGAUCAGUGUGAGGACAGAGAGGAGGGAAUCCCUCCCUCUAAAAGCACUCUGUGUGGGGAACAUGAGAGCCAGACCAAAGCUCAGAGGAACCCACCUGGACCUCCACCCAACUAUGUGUCCUUACAGAGUGACAAGUUAAAG